rnacentral:miRNA from 1 species
GCCGACACAUCCUGGCCAAUCUCCAGCAGACCCUCCCUCCCAGACCCUCCUACUUCCUGGACAGCAUUCAUGCUGAAGCUGCCUUCAACAUGGAUGCUGUCCAGGAAGGAGGAGGGUCUGGGAGGGAGGGUCUGCUGGAGAUUGGCCGGGAUGUGUCGG